AUGCUUGAUUUGGCAGCACAUAUGCUAAAAUUGGAGCAAUACAGAGAAGAUUAGCAUGGCCCCUGCACAAAAAUGACAUGCAAAUUUGUGAAGUAGUCCAUGUGUUA